CCUUAUGACAGGUUUUGGAACCAGGGAUGGAAGGCUGGGCUUCGGAGAGCAGGAAAUUUUUUCUGAAUCGGAGGCUGUCACCCAUUAAUAUGGAUGAACAAGAAGUGGAUGAGAAAAAUCACUCGAAUUACUGUCACUAAACAAGUACAAAAAUCCCACGCAAGCCAAAGAUUUUUAAGUCUCCUAUGGAAAUCUUAUGACUGCUGAAAUCGAUGUGCUGGGAGGAACCAGCUCCUUCUGAACCAGAAAAGGAUGAAAGGAUGUUCUGCCUCUGGGGACGAUGGGGGAAGGAGAGCAGAGCAGAGUGCUGGAUGGGAGGGAAGCUCAGCCGGCAGGCAGCCAUGUGCGACACAGCAGUUUCGAAGUGGCAGCUGCUUUCCUCUCCGGGCUCCAGAAUGGGUUUGCAACAAACACGGAACCCAAACCAGAGCAUCCCUGGGGCAGGUGGCUGCAUGGAUCUGGCUCUUUCCCCUCUGGCCUUCGUGCUGGGUGGAUGCGGCUCACUGUCUCAGCAAUGUUAUUGUGACGAAUGGUGCAUUUUGCUUCUCUUCCCACAACAUUUCAGCUCCGCUGGAAAGGGCAGAGUGGUGGCAAGAACUUGGCUCCACACCUUUGGAAGCUGGUGUGUGCUCAUAAUCGUUUGACUCACUGAGCUGAGACUUUGGGAAAUGCACCAAAUGUUUAUACGUCCUGAGAUAAAACUGCGCCAUUUGGCAGUGCUGCUGCUUGCAUCGUCAGUGCUUGGUGGGGAAGACACACCUAGGCUUUUAUUGCUGCAGAUUAGUGUACUUAAGAUGACAAGCCCAAUACAGUCCCAAAUCUGAACUUCCCAGCUGGAACACCCUCCUGUCCCUUGUCACGCCAUGCCAAGGGAAGGCGGCACAGAGCCAGCAGCCAUCCCCUGGAAGACAGGCUGGGGACAAAGCCAACACACAGAGCAAGGUGCAGAGGAAAAUCAGCCUCAUGGACGUGUUCACUCUGAUAUCCACCCUGCAAGAUGAAAAGUGCUCUGCUCUUCAGACACGUCAGCUUUGGAUGCUCAGGUUUAAAAAUCUCUCACAAAAAGAAAAAAAGCCAAUGGAAGGGGCCGAUUGUCAGCAUGCAGAAUGGCCACAGGUGGGAACGAGCCACUGCAGAGCAGCCUGGGGAAGCAAAAGCAAUGCUCUGUGUAGCAGACCCUGGCUGUGCAGUCUCGGGUUGUGGAACAGCUUAGCAUCAAAGAACUCUGCUCUGAGUGGAGCUGGAUAGCUUUUGAAUUAUAAAUGCAUUAAAAAUACCAAGCAUUUUUUGGAGUCCUAUUUCAGGUUUUUUUAGUCUAUCAGCAGAGUAAAAGAGGUGAAGAAAGAUUUUGCAAGGUGCGGGAUAAAACAGACCAGAGAGUAAUAAAAUACUUCUUGUAAACGAGCCCAGUUGGAAUGAGAGCCUCUUUAUGACAGCUUGCUGAGGCUGUAGUGUUUUGCAAAACUGUGUGAUAAACUCCAAAUAGCUUCUCUGCAAAUCUCUGGAGGCAGAGCAGAGCUAAGGCUGGCUGCUGUGCUGCCACAGCUUUCAAUGAAUGAGCUCAAAAUGGACCCUCUAGUGACAGCUCUGUCAAAGAAUAACAAUCGGAUACUCUCGGAGACAACAACUUCAACAUAUCUGUUUCUGUAAGUAUAAAUGAACCCUAAUGUACCAGUUUAAAAUGCAACUCAGUGCUGAAAGUUUUUAAGAUGCCUGUUUAGAUGAUGAAGAAAAUAAAACCAAAUGGAGCAAGUA